CAUGCUCAGAAUCAACGCUGGCGGCGUGCCUAACACAUGCAAGUCGAACGAGAAAGGGGCUUCGGCCCUGAGUACAGUGGCGAACGGGUGAGUAACACGUGAUUAACUUGCCCUCGAGUGGGGGAUAACCUCGGGAAACCGGGGCUAAUACCGCAUAAGACCCCGGGGUGAAAGUCCCUACGGUCAAAGGAGCAAUUCGCUCGAGGAGAGGAUCGCGGCUGAUUAGCUAGUUGGUGAGGUAACGGCUCACCAAGGCGGUGAUCAGUAGCCGGCCUGAGAGGGCGCACGGCCACACUGGAACUGAAACACGGUCCAGACUCCUACGGGAGGCAGCAGUGGGGAAUUUUGCGCAAUGGGGGAAACCCUGACGCAGCAACGCCGCGUGGAGGAUGAAGGCCCUUGGGUCGUAAACUCCUUUCGAUCGGGACGAUAAUGACGGUACCGAAGAAGAAGCACCGC
rnacentral:rRNA from 1 species